GGUCAAGCGACUAAGCGCACAUGGUGGAUGCCUAGGCGGUAGGAGGCGAUGAAGGACGUAGUAGUCUGCGAUAAGCCUCGGCGAGCUGACAAACUAGCUUUGACCCGGGGAUUUCCGAAUGGGGCAACCCAACCACUUCGGUGGUUAUCGCGUACUGAAUACAUAGGUACGUGAGGCGAACGCGGUGAACUGAAACAUCUAAGUAGCCGUAGGAAGAGAAAUCAACCGAGAUUCCCUGAGUAGCGGCGAGCGAACGGGGAACAGCCCUUAAGCUUUAAUGAUGCUAGUAAAACAGUCUGGAAAGUCUGGCCAUAGAAGGUGAUAGCCCUGUAUGCGAAAGCUGAAUUAGAGUGAAAUCGAGUAGGACGGAGCACGUGAAACUUUGUCUGAACAUGGGGGGACCAUCCUCCAAGGCUAAAUACUACCUACCGACCGAUAGUGAACUAGUACCGUGAGGGAAAGGUGAAAAGGACCCCGGAGAGGGGAGUGAAAUAGAACCUGAAACCGUGUGCGUACAAGCAGUGGGAGCCCCUUCGAGGGGUGACUGCGUACCUUUUGUAUAAUGGGUCAGCGAGUUACUUUUAGUGGCAAGCCUAACCGUAUAGGGGAGGCGUAGGGAAACCGAGUCUGAACAGGGCGUCGAGUCGCUAGGAGUAGACCCGAAACCAGGCGAUCUAUCCAUGGCCAGGGUGAAGGUAGGGUAAUACCUGCUGGAGGCCCGAACCGGGUAAUGUUGAAAAAUUAUCGGAUGAGCUGUGGAUAGGAGUGAAAGGCUAACCAAGCCUGGAGAUAGCUGGUUCUCCUCGAAAGCUAUUUAGGUAGCGCCUCGUGUAUCACUGCUGGGGGUAGAGCACUGUUUCGGCUAGGGGGUCAUCCCGACUUACCAACCCGAUGCAAACUCCGAAUACCAGCAAGUGCAAUCACGGGAGACACACGGCGGGUGCUAACGUCCGUCGUGGAGAGGGAAACAACCCAGACCGCCAGCUAAGGUCCCAAAAUCACAAUUAAGUGGGAAACGAUGUGGAAAGGCUCAGACACCCAGGAGGUUGGCUUAGAAGCA
rnacentral:rRNA from 1 species